AGUUAUAAACAUAAGAGGUCCAGCCUGCCCAGUGAUUAAAUUUAACGGCCGCGGUAUCCUAACCGUGCGAAGGUAGCGUAAUCACUUGUUCUUUAAAUGAGGACUAGUAUGAACGGCACCACGAAGGUUUUACUGUCUCCUUUUCCUAAUCAGUGAAACUAAUCUUCCCGUGAAGAAGCGGGAAUAAACGAAUAAGACGAGAAGACCCUAUGGAGCUUUAAACACAAUAACAAAUACUACUUUAAACAAAAAUUUCUUAAUGACUUACUCCCUGGUAUUAUGAUUAUUAGUUUUAGGUUGGGGUGACCGCGGAGAAAAACACAACCUCCACAUUGAAUGAUAAAAUUCUAAGCAAAGAAUUACAUUUCCACGCAUCAAUACAUUGACAUCAAUUGACCCAAUUAUUUUGAUCAACGAAC
rnacentral:rRNA from 1 species